rnacentral:siRNA from 1 species
UUGGCAUCGGUGCUUUGGGAAUC